rnacentral:tRNA from 1 species
AGUCCCGUGGUGAUCUCACACCAAAAUGCAAAUUUGGAGAAGCACCCUAGAAGUGCCGGGGCUU